UACGGGGGGAGCAAGCGUUGUUCGGAUUUACUGGGCGUAAAGGGCGCGUAGGCGGUCGUGACAAGUCACUUGUGAAAUCUCCGGGCUUAACUCGGAACGGUCAAGUGAUACUGUCGGACUAGAGUACAGAAGGGGCAACUGGAAUUCUCGGGUGUAGCGGGUGAAAUGCGUAGAUAUCUGGAGGAACACCGGUGGCGAAGGCGGCGUUCUGGCUGCAACUGACACUGAAAAACGAA
rnacentral:rRNA from 1 species